rnacentral:rRNA from 1 species
UACGAAGGGGGCUAGCGUUGUUCGGAAUUACUGGGCGUAAAGCGCACGUAGGCGGAUAUUUAAGUCAGGGGUGAAAUCCCGGGGCUCAACCUCGGAACUGCCUUUGAUACUGCAAAUCUCGAGUCCGGAAGAGGUGAGUGGAAUUCCUAGUGUAGAGGUGAAAUUCGUAGAUAUUAGGAAGAACACCAGUGGCGAAGGCGGCUCACUGGUCCGGUACUGACGCUGAGGUGCGAAAGCGUGGGGAGCAAACAGG